CUGUCGUAAAACCCGGAAGUGUUCUUGAUGCGUGCUCGAUCUCGCCGUUUCACCAAGCAUGCAUCGGAGGUGGCUUGUGUGUACUUGCAACCGCUAUAAAUCCCAGGAUGCAUUUCGCAUUCGCAGCAGUACGAUGGCGGACAAUAUGGAGAAGACGCACAACUGUAAGCUAUUAUCUAUAAGCUAUUAAUUGUAAGCUAUUAUAUUUUUAUAUUGUUUCACGAAUAUCGGUAUUUAUUAUUUUUAACGUUUUUAUUAGGCUAUCAUUGAAUUCUCCAACCUGUCAAAUCCUACUUGUUUUUCUCUGACGUUUUCACUUUUUCGGAGCGGGACAGCUAGCUCCCCCGGCCAGCUUCAGCAAUCAGUCCUCAGUUCAUAGAUGAUUACCUAUUAUAAAAACCUCAGGCAGAUAGCCGUAACUCGACAGGACUUGAUAUGAUGGCCUUUAUUAUGCAUUCAAUUAAUAUAGGCUUACACGUUCUAUUUUAUCAAGGGACAAUUGAAGAAACAAGGGCCCUCAUCGAGUGGCGGGCGGCAAAUGAAGCUCGGUUCACUGGCCUCCGCAACUCCUCUGCUACGGGAUGGGAGGACUUCAUUUCCACUUCUGGCAUGGAUAUUUCCACCAAACAGGCCAUGAAGAAGUGGAACAAUCUGAAGCUCAAGUACAAAUCGCUUAGGGACCCACCCACAGGCAGAGGGGUAGAGGCCGGUACAGCUACUGCCGCCACCUGGCAGUGGUAUGGUGCCAUGGAUGCUGCACUCCAGGGACAUCACUCCAUCUGUCCGACCCUGGUUGUUGCAUCCAACAUGACUGCCACUACAGGUGGGGUAGUAAGCACACCGGCUUCUACCUCUUCUGCUGAGGAGGCCGGGGGAAGCAGCAGCAGAAAGAGACCCAGGGACAGUCUGCUGGAGCUUUUGAGGGAGCAGGGAGAAAGGGACGAGGAGAGAGAGAGAGAGAGGCAGUGGCGAGAGAGGCGGAGAGGGAGAGGGCGGCAGCAGUCAGGGCUGAACGGUACCUGUCCCUGUUUGAAAAAUGUAUCUCCAAGAUGUAAAUAAAUAUUAUUCUAAAUUCAUCUGCUCAUUCUUGAAAGCAAAAGUGUGUUUUUAUGUUACAUUU